UCUUUCUUUUCUUCUUUUCUUCUCCUUCUUUCUUCCUCCCUUCCCGAUCUCCUCCUCUUCUCCUCUUCUCCCAUGAAACUAGGAAGCGAGCUCGGAAGGGGCGCUCGGGAGGGAGACGGUCCGAGGUCGUGGGUGCCAGCGGCCGGCCAACAUCACUCGCGGCUCAGUCUGGAGCAGUCGAUUCCCCCUUUCUUCUUCAUCCUUCUUCACUUCAGAAGGGAGGAGGGCGGCUCCCCCUCACGGAAGAGGUCUGUCGCGACCAGCGGCGCCCACGGCCGAACCCGUGGCCGCGCCCGCAGCGGCCGGCCCCCUCUCUGUUCUUUGGGGGUCGGAACCAACCCCCUUGAGAAGAAGGGGCCUCCGGCCCACCACAGCUCCGGCCGAAGGCCAGCGGAGCCUGCAGUCGGAGCCGGCGGCUCCUUCGUUCUCACUACAGUGGGGGAGAAACCCACCACUGUGGCUAUGGCUGCGAUCGAACUCACCGCAGCCAAAGAAGAGUUGUAGACGAUCUCCCCGCGAUCGGAAGAGGGGAGUAAGAGCCUCCGGCCGUCGACGGCUGCAGCCGAGCUCAUCGUGCCGGAUUCGCGACCGAGGACAUCCGAUCGGAAUAUGAAAUGAGAGGGAUAGAGUGAUCAGAAGACUCACCUAGCUCCGGGAAGGAGCUGUGGGGCUUUUCCGGUGAGCUGAUGCAUCUGCUCCGACGACGCAGUGCGGGGACGAGCUCCCUCCUCCUCCGGCGCCACUGUACUCGAUCCGGCUUCUUACACAGAAGGAAGAGGGUGAGGAGUAGGGAGAGUGAGAGGUAAGGGAUGAAGCAUCCCUGAGUAUCUGGGUUCUUAUAGGCUCGGCGGGGAGGGAGAAGUGGUGGUGAUCGUGGCUGUCAGGCGGUUAUAACCGCCUCAACAGUUGUCGAUCUCCACCGCCAUUCUCCUCCCAAGUUUCCAAAUGGGCCGGGAUUUACAUUCUCCCCCCCUUAAAAGAAAUUUCGUCCUCGAAAUUUUACAUACUUUAAUUUUUAAACAAAUGAAGUUACUUAGUCUUUUAUCCAACAUUCUACUAUGUUUCUGCUGCGCACUCUGAUUCAAAACACUAAAAUCUUUGGAUUCACUAAUAACUUUUGAUCAAAAUACUACUUGUAUUAUGAACUAAAGAGUUUCAUAUUUUCAAUUUUCCAAGUAAAGCCUAAAAGAAAGAAUAUCUGAUUCUUGAAUACAUCUAAUCUAGAUUAACUCUCAAGUCAAUUGUUCCAUUCAAAAUCAUCAUAUGGGCUCGUUACUGUAAUUCCCAAAAUGUAUUGAAUCUUAAUUCUCUUAUCAAUUCAACUGGAUGAUUCCAAAUCAAACUCUUAUAACCAGAUUUUUUUUUUUUUUUUUUCAACAUAAGAGUUUCAUUCAUACUCCCCAAACAUGUUCAAACCUCGAAGAGUAUUUUAAUUAGGUAUCAUAAAAAUCUUUCAUAGCUUAAAACUUAAACAAUUUCUUAUGAAGAGAUCCUAACUUGCCACAAAAUGAUUAACUAAUAAACAAAUAAUUACAUUCUAUGAUAAUAUUCCAUGAUCAAUUCUCUCUCACUAAAUUUUGGUCAAAAUCCAAUUAAUCAUAACCUAAAAUGUCCACCGAGAGGACUCCCAACAUAGCUAAUCCACACUUUGGCUACGAGCCCAGUUAGCAAGCAUUUCAAUUUCAAUAAGUAUCUCCAAAAUCAAAGUCUCCACUCAAUAAUAAAGAUCCCUUGUCAAAUCAUAAACUUAAACUUGAGAUUAAACUAACACAUCCAAAAGUGUC